GACGAACGCUGCCGGCGUGCUUAACACAUGCAAGUCGAACGCUGAAGGCCUGGCUUUUGUUGGGUUGGAUGAGUGCGAACGGGUGAGUAACACGUGAGUAACCUGCCCUCUUCUUUGGGAUAACGCCCGGAAACGGGUGCUAAUACUGGAUAUUCACUGAUCUUCGCAUGGGGGUUGGUGGAAAGGUUUGUUCUGGUGGGGGAUGGGCUCGCGGCCUAUCAGCUUGUUGGUGGGGUGAUGGCCUACCAAGGCUUUGACAGGUAGCCGGCCUGAGAGGGUGACCGGUCACAUUGGGACUGAGAUACGGCCCAGACUCCUACGGGAGGCAGCAGUGGGGAAUAUUGCACAAUGGGCGAAAGCCUGAUGCAGCGACGCCGCGUGAGGGAUGGAGGCCUUCGGGUUGUAAACCUCUUUCGCUCAUGGUCAAGCCGCAACUGUGGGUUGUGGUAGGGUAGUGGGUAAAGAAGCGCGG
rnacentral:rRNA from 1 species